AGAGUUUGAUCCUGGCUCAGAAUGAACGCUGGCGGCAUGCCUAACACAUGCAAGUCGAACGAGACCUUCGGGUCUAGUGGCGCACGAGUGCGUAACGCGUGGGAAUCUGCCCCUUGGUUCGGAAUAACAGUUGGAAACGACUGCUAAUACCGGAUGAUGACGUAAGUCCAAAGAUUUAUCGCCGAGGGAUGAGCCCGCGUAGGAUUAGGUAGUUGGUGUGGUAAAGGCGCACCAAGCCGACGAUCCUUAGCUGGUCUGAGAGGAUGAUCAGCCACACUGGGACUGAGACACGGCCCAGACUCCUACGGGAGGCAGCAGUGGGGAAUAUUGGACAAUGGGCGAAAGCCUGAUCCAGCAAUGCCGCGUGAGUGAUGAAGGCCUUAGGGUUGUAAAGCUCUUUUACCCGGGAUGAUAAUGACAGUACCGGGAGAAUAAGCUCCGGCUAACUCCGUGCCAGCAGCCGCGGUAAUACGGAGGGAGCUAGCGUUAUUCGGAAUUACUGGGCGUAAAGCGCACGUAGGCGGCUUUGUAAGUAAGAGGUGAAAGCCCAGAGCUCAACUCUGGAAUUGCCUUUUAGACUGCAUCGCUUGAAUCAUGGAGAGGUCAGUGGAAUUCCGAGUGUAGAGGUGAAAUUCGUAGAUAUUCGGAAGAACACCAGUGGCGAAGGCGGCUGACUGGACAUGUAUUGACGCUGAGGUGCGAAGGCGUGGGGAGCAAACAGGAUUAGAUACCCUAGUAGUCC
rnacentral:rRNA from 1 species